rnacentral:rRNA from 1 species
GAUGAACGCUGACAGAAUGCUCAACACAUGCAAGUCUACUUGAACUUCGGUUUGGGUGGCGGACGGGUGAGUAACGCGUACAGAACUUGCCUCACAGUUAGGGACAACAUUUGGAAACGAAUGCUAAUACCUGAUAUUAUGAUUUUAGGGCAUCCUAGGAUUAUGAAAGCUAUAUGUGCUGUGAGAGAGCUUUGCGUCCCAUUAGCUAGUUGGAGAGGUAACGGCUCACCAAGGCGAUGAUGGGUAGCCGGCCUGAGAGGGUGAACGGCCACAAGGGGACUGAGACACGGCCCUUACUCCUACGGGAGGCAGCAGUGGGGAAUAUUGGACAAUGGACCAAAAGUCUGAUCCAGCAAUUCUGUGUGCACGAUGACGUUUUUCGGAAUGUAAAGUGCUUUCAGUUGGGAAGAAAAAAAUGACGGUACCAACAGAAGAAGUGACGGCUAAAUACGUG